UACGGAGGGGGUUAGCGUUGUUCGGAAUUACUGGGCGUAAAGCGCGCGUAGGCGGACUGGAAAGUUGGGGGUGAAAUCCCGGGGCUCAACCUCGGAACUGCCUCCAAAACUCCCAGUCUCGAGUUCGAGAGAGGUGAGUGGAACUCCGAGUGUAGAGGUGAAAUUCGUAGAUAUUCGGAAGAACACCAGUGGCGAAGGCGGCUCACUGGCUCGAUACUGACGCUGAGGUGCGAAAGUGUGGGGAGCAAACAGG
rnacentral:rRNA from 1 species